CAUCUCAAUUGGACCUGAUAUCAGGCAAGAUUACCCGCUGAACUUAA
rnacentral:rRNA from 2 species